rnacentral:rRNA from 1 species
UUUCCUACGGGGGGCAGCAGUGGGGAAUCUUGCACAAUGGGGGAAACCCUGAUGCAGCGACGCCGCGUGAAAGAAGAAGGAUUUCGGUAUGUAAACUUCUAUCAGCAGGGAAGAAAAUGACGGUACCUGACUAAGAAGCCCCGGCUAACUACGUGCCAGCAGCCGCGGUAAUAAGUAGGGGGCAAGCGUUAUCCGGAUUUACUGGGUGUAAAGGGAGCGUAGGCGGCGAUGCAAGUCAGAAGUGCAAGCCCGGGGCUCAACUCCGGGACUGCUUUUG